GGUUUCUUGGCACAGUUCUUAGGCCACACUGAACCAUUUAGUGGCCCAAAUAUAUGACACGUUCCUUCAUUUGCUACUGCAGGGCACAAUAUCUUUUGUAACCCCUAGUUCUAACACCAAAAUUCACCCCUGUAAUUUUGUGUAGAAGUCUUGUAAUUUUUGUAUCCUGUGAUUUUUUUUUUUUUUUUCCCACUAGUUGUACAUAUCAGGAGUAGCAUAGGAGAAUUGUCAAUGUAAAGCAGGUGCGAGGUGCUUCUUUUGUUCCCCAUUUCAGGAUCAGGGAGGAGAUGGAGAGCAAGGACUGAGAGGCAUAGCCAGUAAUUAGUUGGAUAAUACUCUUGGCUAGCAUGAAAAUAGAUGUUCUUCCUAUUACGUGUCUUGUUUAGCUGCUACACCAGUGACUUUGUAAAUAGUAAUCCUUCUAUGGUUUUGGCGUUGCUUGCUUAUCAUAUUGUAAUAUUAGUUGGAUUAUAAUUUGGUUUGGAUUGUGCUGGUUGUAUCUCGAUCCCGAAGCAGAUACAGUCUUUCUUGAUAUUAUGAGAUCGUUGAACACUUUACAAAAAUUCUUUUUGGAUAACAGAAGGGAGAAAAACAUUCAAAGCAAUCUACCAUAUGCAAGAUCAACCAUUGGAGACACAUAAGAGUCGAGGGAGAAGUUUAAAAGGGGAUCUCCAAGUGAAUUUUUAUUUGGUAGAACUGAUGUAUAUAUAACGUUUUCAUUAUAAGCAUUGAUUAUAAUGAAAUCGUUGUACAUAAAUCGUAC
rnacentral:misc_RNA from 1 species